rnacentral:rRNA from 1 species
UACGUAGGGUGCAAGCGUUAAUCGGAAUUACUGGGCGUAAAGCGUGCGCAGGCGGUUGUGCAAGACAGAUGUGAAAUCCCCGGGCUCAACCUGGGAACUGCAUUUGUGACUGCACGGCUAGAGUGUGUCAGAGGGGGGUAGAAUUCCACGUGUAGCAGUGAAAUGCGUAGAGAUGUGGAGGAACACCGAUGGCGAAGGCAGCCCCCUGGGUUAACACUGACGCCCAGGCACGAAAGCGUGGGGAGCAAACAGG